CCGGGUCGGCCGGGUGGCGCGGCGCGGCUUGUCGGGCUGCGCCACCGAGCGCACCAUCGCGAUCAGGCGUUCGAUGGCUUCGGCCCGGU
rnacentral:tRNA from 1 species